GUGGGGAAUUUUGGACAAUGGGGGCAACCCUGAUCCAGCCAUGCCGCGUGCGGGAAGAAGGCCUUCGGGUUGUAAACCGCUUUUGUCAGGGAAGAAAUCCUUUGGGUUAAUACCUCGGAGGGAUGACGGUACCUGAAGAAUAAGCACCGGCUAACUACGUGCCAGCAGCCGCGGUAAUACGUAGGGUGCGAGCGUUAAUCGGAAUUACUGGGCGUAAAGCGUGCGCAGGCGGUUUUGUAAGAUCGAUGUGAAAUCCCCGGGCUCAACCUGGGAACUGCAGUGGUGACUGCAAGGCUGGAGUGCGGCAGAGGGGGAUGGAAUUCCGCGUGUAGCAGUGAAAUGCGUAGAUAUGCGGAGGAACACCGAUGGCGAAGGCAAUCCCCUGGGCCUGCACUGACGCUCAUGCACGAAAGCGUGGGGAGCAAAUAGGAUUAGAAACCCCUGUAGUCC
rnacentral:rRNA from 1 species